GACGAACGCUGGCGGCGUGCUUAACACAUGCAAGUCGUACGGUAAGGCCCUUUCGGGGGUACACGAGUGGCGCACGGGUGAGUAACACGUGGGUAACCUGCCCACCACUUGGGGAUAACGCUAGGAAACUGGUGCUAAUACUGGAUAUGUGCUCCUGCGGCAUGGGGGGGGUUGGAAAGCUCCGGCGGGUGGGGGUGGGCUCGCGGCGUCUCAGCUUGUUGGUGGGGUAGGGGCCUACAAAGGCGGCGACGGGUAGCCGGCCUGAGAGGGUGACCGGCCACAUUGGGACCGAGGGAAGGCCCAAACGCCGACGGGAGGCAGCAGGGGGGAAGCUUGCACCAGGGGCGCCAGGCGGAUGCAGAAACGCCGCGGGCGGGAUGACGGCCUUCGGGUUGUAAAACGCUUUCAGCAGGGAAGAAGGUGUCUGUGACGGUACCUGCAGAAGAAGCACCGGCUAACUACGUG
rnacentral:rRNA from 1 species